UCCCGCCACCGAUGUGCCCGCCCCCAGUCUUCUCAGUGCCACCACUACUAUUGCCAGUGCCAGGUCAGGACAGCCUGGCUGGGUCUGUGAGAGAAAGCAGCAAGGAGGACCUGCUUCGUCGGGGUUAACUUCCAGCAUUCCAGUGAGCAGGCACAGCAGCAGCCAAAGCUAAUCUGCUUAUUCCACUAUCAUUACCUCCUGUGAAAUCCAGCAUCUCACAGAAGCAAAAAACACAAGGGCAGGCAGUCCUACAAGACAAGGGCAGGCAGUCCUAGAAGAGGAUCACAAGUCAUUCAUUUUGACGAUCUCAUUAUCACCUCCGAAAUACGUCUCACAGAAGCCUACAAGACGAG